rnacentral:lncRNA from 1 species
CUGCCGACGAGGAAUGCCGGCCGGGGCUGCGGCUGCUCCCGCUGUCCCGGUAACGCCGGCCCGUCCCCACGGCAACGCCACCGGCCAUGGCGGGGCGAGGCGCUGCCGGCCCGGGCCGAGGGUCAGCUAAAGUGUAAAGAUACUGACUAUGAAAGAAAAAGUGAUCUGUAUAAAGACAUAGUCACAUUUUUAAGGGGUGAUCGCCUAGAUUUGUGGAAAAUAUGGCCAAACAGGAAUCUAGUAUGUCUAAAGAACCAGCACACAAGAAGAAUCAGCAUGUGGAAGGUGCUGAGAUUUCUGGCCAAUCACAGAGCCUUCAUAAUCUUACAGAAAAGACUGAAUGUGAGAAAGGGAAAACUUGUUCAACAGGACCCACUGACCAGAGGUCAAAACCACAUAUGAAGUGGAAGAGCAGUGGGAUUUCUGCUUCCCAAAGUGGUGACAAGGUUCGAAAAAAAUACUCUGAAGGAGAAGGAAAAAGUAGAGCUGGAUCUCUGACUGCAAAAAAGAAAGCCAGUGGCAAAUCUAAAUCGGUUAAAAUUCAAGAAACUUCAAAAUGUAAAGCAUCAAUCAGCCUUGAGGAUAGUGAAAGUUCCUCAGAGACUGAUGAGGAUGAACACCCUGUACGUCGUCAGGAAGGAGGCAGCGAUUUGUCAGCAGAAUACUGGGGAAUUCAAAAACUUGCAAAAUAUGUAAAACAUAGAUCAACCCUGAUGCUGUUAAACCCCAUUAUCCUCAUCUGGACCUGGAGAAGAGAUGAUUGGCAUUGAAGGUUUUCUUUAAACUACCUUCCUAUUGCCUUCUUCAGAGUAAACAGUUCCAGUUCCUUCAAUUUUUUUGUGGAAAUAGUAAUUUUGAGAUAUUUUGACAUCCUCUGGUCUUUAUCAACUUUCCCAGUAUUUUUUCUGAACUAGAAUACCUAGAAUGAAUGUAGCACUUAAAUUUGAACAGUGCCAAUCCAAAGAAGGAGUAGUUCUUAUAUCUUACAGGUUACAUAUCUGGUUAUAAUUUUCUCUGUAAAGUUUGCUUUUUUUUGUUUGGCAAUGCUGUGAUAGUGACAGAUAAUAUCAGCAUUGUGUUCUAUUGCUAACAACAGAUUUCUUCCUGCAGUUUUGCAAACUUACCAUGGCAUCAGCCAGUUCUCUCAGUACCACAGAGCAGAGUCCAUUGAGCUCAUCUAGUGUAAAACAUCUGUUAUCGAAGUACUUACUGGCUAGUUAUGUCCUUAGCACAGCCAGAGUGUUCACUAUGCUCUCAGAGACAUUAAGUAACCAUUACCAGAAUUUAGUAAAGAUUAAUGCAUAAAAAAGACCUCUUAAUGCUUUUGCUUUUUUGGUUCCAUUUGUUGAAAGGUUGCCAUUGACUAACAGGGUUUUUCCUCUUGAUUAUUACAGAAGUCAAACAAAAUGAUUGUUUGAACUUGUGUAUUCCUUGGUAACUGUACUUUGGGUUGUGUCUGUAUUUGCUUGUGUUUUUCUUUUAUUUUCAUUCUUUUUUGAUCUUGUCAGUAGUUCUGUAAUUCUCAGUUUUUCUCACUUGUUAGCUUCAGUAUUGUAAGAGAGACAUUACACAUUCAGUGCAAGAAGAUGUUUUACUGAUAGUGUAACAGUGAUACUGGUUUAUUUUCAUGGAUAUAUGUGUUAUACUGAUAUAUAGGAAGAAAGACACAUUUUAAAAUAAGUCUGUGUUUAAUUUCAAGCCUUAAAAUUGACUGUUGAUCUGCCAGUAGAAUCUAUAUUGCUUCCAACAUAUCAGAUUUCAAAUGGUAUAACAACAUGAUGCAGAUUUUAUGUCAACUUAAUGGAGAGGUAACUAUUUCCAUGCAUGUUAAAAUCUAUGCUGUAACUAGUACAAGUCUUACUGUAAUGAUAACUUCAAGAAACAAAAAAUAAUUGUUGAAACCAUCAGCAGUAUUUCUUAUUUUGUAGAAUUGAUGCUUCAGCACAUAUGAAAAAUAUUUUAUUGUGGUUUUACAUUAAAAACACUUAAAGUGGUGUGUUCAUUUUUAAAGCUGAAAAAAUAAAAUGCAUAUAUAUAUAAUAUACGGUUGUGUU